GGUCCCAUAGUCGAGCGGUAAGACGACGCCCCUCACGGCGUAAACUCGGGUUCGAUCCCCGAUGGGAUCA
rnacentral:tRNA from 1 species